rnacentral:rRNA from 1 species
AACGCGAAGAACCUUACCAGGAUUCGACAUGCCCUCUAUGGAUUCCCGAAAAGGAAUCCUUCACUUCGGGUGGGAGGAGCACAGGUGCUGCAUGGCUGUCGUCAGCUCGUGUCGUGAGAUGUUGGGUUAAGUCCCGCAACGAGCGCAACCCUCGUCCUCUGUUGCUAACAGGUUAAGCUGAGCACUCUGAGGAAACUGCCGGUGAUAAGCCGGAGGAAGGUGGGGAUGACGUCAAGUCCUCAUGGCCCUUACAUCCUGGGCUACACACGUGUUACAAUGGCGGUGACAAUGGGUCGCGAAAGCGCAAGCUGGAGCUAAUCCCCAAAAGCCGCCUCAGUUCGGAUUGUACUCUGCAACUCGAGUACAUGAAGCUGGAAUCGCUAGUAAUCGUGGAUCAGCACGCCACGGUGAAUACGUUCCCGGGCCUUGUACACACCGCGUGUCU